rnacentral:tRNA from 1 species
UCCUCGGUGGUUUAGCGGUUAAGACUCUGUGCUCCCAAUACAGGAGGCACAGGUUCAGUCCCUGGUUGAGGAA